AUUGAACGCUGGCGGCAGGCUUAACACAUGCAAGUCGAGCGAGCGGCGGACGGGUGAGUAAUGUCUGGGAAACUGCCUGAUGGAGGGGGAUAACUACUGGAAACGGUAGCUAAUACCGCAUACCAUCAGAUGUGCCCAGAUGGGAUUAGCUAGUAGGUGGGGUAAUGGCUCACCUAGGCGAUGAUCCCUAGCUGGUCUGAGAGGAUGACCAGCAACACUGGAACUGGGACACGGUCCAGACUCCAACGGGAGGCAGCAGGGGGAAAUAUUGCACAAUGGGCGCAAGCCUGAUGCGGCCAGGCCGGGGUUGUGAAGAAGGCCUUCGGGUUGUAAAGCACUUUCAGCGAGGAGGCGGUACUCGCAGAAGAAGCACCGGCUAACUCCGUGACAGCAGCCGCGGUAAUUC
rnacentral:rRNA from 1 species